GGGUUGUGAGGUUAAGCGACUAAGCGUACACGGUGGAUGCCCUGGCAGUCAGAGGCGAUGAAGGGCGUGCUAAUCUGCGAUAAGCGCCGGUAAGGUGAUAUGAACCGUUAUAACCGGCGAUACCCGAAUGGGGAAACCCAGUGUGAUUCGUCACACUAUCAUUAACUGAAUCCAUAGGUUAAUGAGGCGAACCGGGGGAACUGAAACAUCUAAGUACCCCGAGGAAAAGAAAUCAACCGAGAUUCCCCCAGUAGCGGCGAGCGAACGGGGAGGAGCCCAGAGCCUGAAUCAGCAUGUGUGUUAGUGGAAGCGUCUGGAAAGGCGCGCGAUACAGGGUGACAGCCCCGUACACAAAAGCGCAUAUGCUGUGAGCUCGAUGAGUAGGGCGGGACACGUGGUAUCCUGUCUGAAUAUGGGGGGACCAUCCUCCAAGGCUAAAUACUCCUGACUGACCGAUAGUGAACCAGUACCGUGAGGGAAAGGCGAAAAGAACCCCGGCGAGGGGAGUGAAAAAGAACCUGAAACCGUGUACGUACAAGCAGUGGGAGCCCCACCACUAAGCCAGUGGUGAACUCCACAUACGCAUCCUUUGCUGAGGAUACGGUUAACGGAGCGAAAGCGACGUUCAACCUCAAAAGAAGCAGAGGGGGCUUAGUGGUGGGGUGACUGCGUACCUUUUGUAUAAUGGGUCAGCGACUUAUAUUCUGUAGCAAGGUUAACCGAAUAGGGGAGCCGGAGGGAAACCGAGUCUUAAUUGGGCGUUAAGUUGCAGGGUAUAGACCCGAAACCCGGUGAUCUAGCCAUGGGCAGGUUGAAGGUUGGGUAACACUAACUGGAGGACCGAACCGACUAAUGUUGAAAAAUUAGCGGAUGACCUGUGGCUGGGGGUGAAAGGCCAAUCAAACCGGGAGAUAGCUGGUUCUCCCCGAAAGCUAUUUAGGUAGCGCCUCGUGAAUUCAUCUCCGGGGGUAGAGCACUGUUUCGGCUAGGGGGCCAUCCCGGCUUACCAACCCGAUGCAAACUGCGAAUACCGGAGAAUGUUAUCACGGGAGACACACGGCGGGUGCUAACGUCCGUCGUGAAGAGGGAAACAACCCAGACCGCCAGCUAAGGUCCCAAAGUCAUGGUUAAGUGGGAAACGAUGUGGGAAGGCCCAGACAGCCAGGAUGUUGGCUUAGAAGCAGCCAUCAUUUAAAGAAAGCGUAAUAGCUCACUGGUCGAGUCGGCCUGCGCGGAAGAUGUAACGGGGCUAAACCAUGCACCGAAGCUGCGGCAGCGACGCUGAUGCGUUGUUGGGUAGGGGAGCGUUCUGUAAGCCUGUGAAGGUGGCCUGUGAGGGUUGCUGGAGGUAUCAGAAGUGCGAAUGCUGACAUAAGUAACGAUAAAGCGGGUGAAAAGCCCGCUCGCCGGAAGACCAAGGGUUCCUGUCCAACGUUAAUCGGGGCAGGGUGAGUCGACCCCUAAGGCGAGGCCGAAAGGCGUAGUCGAUGGGAAACGGGUUAAUAUUCCCGUACUUGGUGUUACUGCGAAGGGGGGACGGAGAAGGCUAUGUUGGCCGGGCGACGGUUGUCCCGGUUUAAGCGUGUAGGUGUGUGUUCCAGGUAAAUCCGGUUCACUUUAACACUGAGGCGUGACGACGAGGCACUACGGUGCUGAAGCAACAAAUGCCCUGCUUCCAGGAAAAGCCUCUAAGCAUCAGGUAACAUCAAAUCGUACCCCAAACCGACACAGGUGGUCAGGUAGAGAAUACCAAGGCGCUUGAGAGAACUCGGGUGAAGGAACUAGGCAAAAUGGUGCCGUAACUUCGGGAGAAGGCACGCUGACACGUAGGUGAAGUGAUUUACUCAUGGAGCUGAAGUCAGUCGAAGAUACCAGCUGGCUGCAACUGUUUAUUAAAAACACAGCACUGUGCAAACACGAAAGUGGACGUAUACGGUGUGACGCCUGCCCGGUGCCGGAAGGUUAAUUGAUGGGGUCAGCGCAAGCGAAGCUCCUGAUCGAAGCCCCGGUAAACGGCGGCCGUAACUAUAACGGUCCUAAGGUAGCGAAAUUCCUUGUCGGGUAAGUUCCGACCUGCACGAAUGGCGUAAUGAUGGCCAGGCUGUCUCCACCCGAGACUCAGUGAAAUUGAACUCGCUGUGAAGAUGCAGUGUACCCGCGGCAAGACGGAAAGACCCCGUGAACCUUUACUAUAGCUUGACACUGAACAUUGAGCCUUGAUGUGUAGGAUAGGUGGGAGGCUUUGAAGUGUGGACGCCAGUCUGCAUGGAGCCGACCUUGAAAUACCACCCUUUAAUGUUUGAUGUUCUAACGUGGACCCGUGAUCCGGGUUGCGGACAGUGUCUGGUGGGUAGUUUGACUGGGGCGGUCUCCUCCUAAAGAGUAACGGAGGAGCACGAAGGUUGGCUAAUCCUGGUCGGACAUCAGGAGGUUAGUGCAAUGGCAUAAGCCAGCUUGACUGCGAGCGUGACGGCGCGAGCAGGUGCGAAAGCAGGUCAUAGUGAUCCGGUGGUUCUGAAUGGAAGGGCCAUCGCUCAACGGAUAAAAGGUACUCCGGGGAUAACAGGCUGAUACCGCCCAAGAGUUCAUAUCGACGGCGGUGUUUGGCACCUCGAUGUCGGCUCAUCACAUCCUGGGGCUGAAGUAGGUCCCAAGGGUAUGGCUGUUCGCCAUUUAAAGUGGUACGCGAGCUGGGUUUAGAACGUCGUGAGACAGUUCGGUCCCUAUCUGCCGUGGGCGCUGGAGAACUGAGGGGGGCUGCUCCUAGUACGAGAGGACCGGAGUGGACGCAUCACUGGUGUUCGGGUUGUCAUGCCAAUGGCACUGCCCGGUAGCUAAAUGCGGAAGAGAUAAGUGCUGAAAGCAUCUAAGCACGAAACUUGCCCCGAGAUGAGUUCUCCCUGAGACUUUAGGUCUCCUGAAGGAACGUUGAAGACGACGACGUUGAUAGGCCGGGUGUGUAAGCGCAGCGAUGCGUUGAGCUAACCGGUACUAAUGAACCGUGAGGCUUAACCUUACAACGCCGAAG
rnacentral:rRNA from 1 species